GCCUACGGGAGGCAGCAGUAGGGAAUAUUGCUCAAUGGGGGAAACCCUGAAGCAGCAACGCCGCGUGGAGGAUGAAGGUUUUCGGAUUGUAAACUCCUUUUGUUAGAGAAGAUAAUGACGGUAUCUAACGAAUAAGCACCGGCUAACUCCGUGCCAGCAGCCGCGGUAAUACGGAGGGUGCAAGCGUUACUCGGAAUCACUGGGCGUAAAGAGCGCGUAGGCGGGGUAGCAAGUCAGAUGUGAAAUCCUGUGGCUUAACCAUAGAACUGCAUUUGAAACUGUUAUUUUAGAGUAUGGGAGAGGAG
rnacentral:rRNA from 1 species